AUUAUAGCUGUAUAUUUUUUUUAUUUUUUUGUUCCCAUGCGUCCUCCAAAGGUUUCUUUUUUAUAUAUAAAAGAUCCAACACAGAUUUCAUUGAAUAAAUCUGAGAUCUCCAGGUGCAGACGUUUGAAUAGUCAGUGCCAGAACCCCAUGUUUUCCUUUCCAGCCGAUUUUGCUUGGAUCAGGCUCAAAAACCGAGUGAGUCUCGUGGUUUUGUUUACACUGAAUGGGGAGGAUAGGAACGGUGCCAUGGGGCCGUCUUUCAUUAAUAUACAGUGAGGAUUUUGUCUAAAUUACUGCUAUGAAUUUCACAGUACACGCUUUCAAAAGCCGUCUCAGGUGGCCUGAUGAAACGUGAUAGCGCCUCUGCAAACAGAUCUACUUUCUUAAUAAAAAAGGAAGGGGGGGGGGAAGAAAUCCCCCCAAAUAAAAAAAAAAAAGUACACCCUCAUAACAGCGACAACAAAAAAUAAAGCUCGAGCUGGAGUAAUGUCUUUUAUUUAAAAAAAAAAACCACACAAACCCAACCAACUUAGUUCCCCAACUCUUCCCACCCCCUCCCUUGCAGAGUGUUGAUUGUUUUGUCUGGAAAAAAAUCCAAAGUAUAACAAGGGGAGAACAGUUAGUGCUGAUUUUCAUUUGCAUAAAUUUUCAUAUAUUUUGGUGAAAAUAAUAGACUAGUGGAGAGCGGGGCUUAGUGGAGUCAGUGCAAAGGAAAAUCUUAACAUGGAUCGUUUCGCUGGAGUUGAGAACAUGCUUUUUCCCCCCUGUCACCUUAUUAAAAUCAAAAAUUAAAAAAAAAAUCUCUAAAUCCUGGAAGUAUGACCGGAGGCUGCCCCCGAUUUUAGUCCAAAGGAGCUGCUUUUGGGAAUUGGGUGUCCGGCUCCGGUGUUUGCCUGCUGAGGAAGAGUUUGUACAGGUCCCGUAGACUCGAGUCACGCCGGUGGCGGGGUCCCACUCGCUGUGACACCUCCACUCGCCUGCCUUUGGCGGUGUCACCUCCCUCACCGAACCUCACCGCUUUAGACGGCGCCAGCCAACAGCAGCGUUUUGUGGCUCACUCUGUUCUCCAGUCUUGUUACGUGGAUUUCUCUCUCUCCAAGUAAUUUCUCAGCAUCCCCUUGAAUGGCAUCUACCGCACAUAACUUUUCCAACCCACAAGGCUGAAACAACUUCCCAUAGCUGAAAUGACUGCAGCGCAGCUAUUCCCUAGAAGACAUCCUCCCUGAUUUCUUGUGGGGCCUCUAAGAUGACUGAAGUUCUAGAACAGCAAAGACAUGGAAAAGGCAUUGAGGUCCUAUUGCUCCUGUCGGAAAUUUCUGCUGACUACAGCAUGAGUUGGAUUGGGCCCAGAGAAACCAAAUACACACAAGUAACAAUGAGUUGGCCAUACAAGCAAGGAAAAUCACAGAUAACAGGUGCACACAAAUUAGCAAUGUACCUUUUAGGUCAUCCAGUACAGCUCCCUGACACAGUGAGAUUGUUUCCUAUGGCAUAUUUUCAUUUUUUUUUGUGUGCCUAGAUUAAAUGUCCUAAGUGAUGCCAUGUCCCUAGGGAGAGAUUGUGCUGCCUAGAGUAUCUUGUUGUCAGAAGUUUUUUUUCCUUUCUUAACAUCAUCAUAUUUCUCCUAGUUAUGUCCCUUCACAAAUCUCCCUCUUUUCCUUCAUUUAUGCUAUUUGCCUCCACUAUUUUUUAACUAGCAUGAUGUUGUGUUUAUUUAGCAUUAAGCCAACCCAUAGCUAUUUAGCUCAUUUAAUCUUCCCUAACAAAUCCGUCCUUCCAGUCUCCUGGUUAUUCUUCCUUUCCUCUUGUCACACUCCUGCCUGUCAGUAUCUUUUUUAGUUAUGGGAUUUUGAAGAUGUGAUGCAUUUCUCUGGACUGGUGACAGAUCUGGUAUAGAGCUGGGCACCCUCAAUGUCUUCCCACUGAAAAACCAUCCUGAUGUGCUCAGGAGAAAGCUGCCAGGGUUCUGGACAGACACACAGGUAGAGUAUCUUGCUCAAACCACUUCCUUGGUGCCACUUAUUCUAUUGGCCAACUAAACCCUAUUAAAACAGUUAACCUAGUAGUUCAAAAAACAAAUACAUGUCAUUAUGGAUUUAUUUUAUUUCUCACAACGUUAGGAGAGAGAAUAGCACAGAUAAAAAGGUCUUUGUUGCUGUUGUUGAGAUUUUCUAACUCUUGGUCGUGGACAUCACAGUUUAAAAUUAUGGAAGACGUCAUCUUCCAUAACUGUGUCUGAGUGUUAGGAGAGUACAUUGUAGAAAGUAAUUAUAUACAUAGUCAGAAGCCUAGCUGUUCACUUCAGGCAAUAAAUUUUGAUCAACAAACAACACUCCUUUAGUGCUAAAUGAGAUCUUGGUUGUAAUUGAAUGUCUUUACCUUUGUGUUCUGUUGGAUUGGAGGAAUAUCAUCUUAAUCUGCUCUCUUUAAAUUUUCAUUAAGGAACGUUUCAGCUACCUGCAGCCUCAUCUGAUGAUGUUUAAUGAUAUCUGCUAGCUCGGUCUUCCGUGCACCAGCAGGGGCUUCUUUAAAUUGGUCAAAUGUACGGAACAUUGUUUUCAAAUUUAAUGUACUUGGAAUCAACCUUUUAAAAUAAUGGCAUCUCUAAAGUCAGUUUAUAGACAUAGUGCACACACAUGCAUGCAUUUAUAUGUGCACGUGUGUGCAUGCAUAUAUAUAUGUGCGUCAGUGCACACACAUGUACAGAAACGCUGAUCCUAUUCACCUUCUUGAAACCAUUUCAGCUAGUAUUAACAUAAAUGUGCUGUUAAAUUGGCAGUGUUAUACAUUUUUGUUGGAGUUUACUUCUGUAACAUAAAAUCAGAAAGAUAAGCUGUGAAACUCAUGCAGCUGAUGACAUAAUGCUAGGAUCUCGUGAUGCUGAAUCUCAUAUUUCUAGGAGUGUGGGAUGGAUGUUCCUUGCUGAAAUAAUUAUACUGUGUAUUGCAAUAUAUGUUUCCUUGUUUUCAUGUGGGCACUGAGAUGUCCAAACCAUUAAACGCAUAUGGUAUAAUAA